CGCGAUUCUCUCUCACUCAGUCAGUCUUCUCUUCUCUUUUCGUGUCUUCUUCUUUCUUCUUCACAAUCAAAACCCUAAGCGGCGCCUCUCUGUCCCGAGUUCGUCUCUCCAGACCUUGGAUCUUUCGGCGACAGCACCGGCGUCGCUCCUUCGUCGAUCUCUCUCUCUCUCUCUCUUGUCUGGCAGGUAUAAUUUUUCUUUCUUCUGUUUUUGACCUAAGCGGCGCCUCUCUCUCCCAACCUCAGAUCUUGUCUCUCCCGACCUCAGAUCUUUCGGCGACAGCAUCGGCGUUGCUCCUUCAUCGAUCUCUAUCUCUCGUUUGGCAGCUCCCUUAUACACGUGAAUCUGUUUGGUAAGUGAUUAAUAUGCCAUUAGUAUCAUUUGUUCAAACCUGCAGCUCCUUUAUUUGUAUUUUUUGUCAUGGGUUGUAAAAUAUAAUUUGCUGCUUUACUUAUAUUUUUUGUCAUGGGAUGUAAAAUAUAAUUUGGUGCUUUGCUUGUAUUUUUUGUCAUGGGAUGUAAGAACCAACUAAUUUGAUAGUUGGAUGAUGCUUUUGAUUAAGACUUUGUUUAGAAACUUUAAAAAAACAGGUUAUAGAUGGAAAAA